GACGAACGCUGGCGGCGUGCUUAACACAUGCAAGUCGAACGGUAAGGCCCUUCGGGGUACACGAGUGGCGAGCGGGUGAGUAACACGUGGGUGAUCUGCCCUGCACUUCGGGAUAAGCCUGGGAAGCUGGGUCUAAUACCGGAUAGGACCCUGGGAUGCAUGUCCUGGGGUGGAAAGCUUUUGCGGUGUGGGAUGGGCCCGCGGCCUAUCAGCUUGUUGGUGGGGUGAUGGCCUACCAAGGCGACGACGGGUAGCCGGCCUGAGAGGGUGACCGGCCACACUGGGACUGAGAUACGGCCCAGACUCCUACGGGAGGCAGCAGUGGGGAAUAUUGCACAAUGGGCGCAAGCCUGAUGCAGCGACGCCGCGUGAGGGAUGACGGCCUUCGGGUUGUAAACCUCUUUCAGCACCGACGAAGCGCAAGUGACGGUAGGUGCGGAAGAAGGACCGGCCAACUACGUGCCAGCCGCCGCGGUAA
rnacentral:rRNA from 1 species